UACGUAGGGUGCGAGCGUUGUCCGGAAUUACUGGGCGUAAAGAGCUCGUAGGUGGUUUGUCGCGUUGUCCGUGAAAACUCACAACUCAAUUGUGGGCGUGCGGGCGAUACGGGCAGACUGGAGUACUGCAGGGGAGACUGGAAUUCCUGGUGUAGCGGUGGAAUGCGCAGAUAUCAGGAGGAACACCGGUGGCGAAGGCGGCAUCCUGGACCGGUAUUGACACUGAGGCGCGAAAGCCAGGGGAGCAAACGGG
rnacentral:rRNA from 1 species